AUAUCGAUUACAUUUCUGUGUUGUUAAAGAACCAUAUGUUUUUUCGAUAAUCGAUUGCAACACGGCGCUCAUUUAGUGUCAAAAAGUUCCUGGGGUAACAAGUAGAAAGUGUAUUAAGUGAAAUAAUUGAAGAAUAAUGUGAAAAUGGGCACGGUGUGCAGGUUAAAAAUCGACUUCUGGGAAAUAUACCCAGAGAAAGAGCAUGCAUUGGUUUUGAAAUAGGACGACCUGAAGCCUUUACGAUAGGAAGAUUAAAAACGAUCUCAGCAGGCAACAGCUUACCGAAGCACAGUCGGCAAUAAAUGAAGGUAAUAUAUACAAAAUAUCUAUUUACUUAUUGUUAUAUUUGUCUUUCUUCGUUUUUGAUAAAUGCCCAGGACUCUAUUUGUUAUUUUGCUUGACACCGCGUUUCGUUAAAUAUGUUUAGCUGUAAGAACUUUAA